rnacentral:rRNA from 1 species
CCCUUAGAUGUUCUGGGCCGCACGCGCGCUACACUGACGAAUGCAACGAGCUUAUAACCUUGGCCGAAAGGUCUGGGUAAUCUCCAAAUUUCGUCGUGAUGGGGAUAGAUUAUUGCAAUUAUUAAUCUUCAACGAGGAAUGCCUAGUAAGCGCAAGUCAUCAGCUUGCGUUGAUUACGUCCCUGCCCUUUGUACACACCGCCCGUCGCACCUACCGAUUGAAUGGUCCGGUGAAGCCUCGGGAAUGUGACCAGUUCGCUUCAUUGUGAGUUGGUUGCGUGAACUUGUCUAAACCUUAUCAUUUAGAGGAAGGUGAAGUCGUAACA